rnacentral:rRNA from 1 species
AACGAACGCUGGCGGCAGGCUUAACACAUGCAAGUCGAACGCGCCCUUCGGGGCGAGUGGCAGACGGGUGAGUAACGCGUGGGAACCUACCUCAUGGUACGGAAUAACUCAGGGAAACUUGAGCUAAUACCGUAUGUGUCCUUCGGGAGAAAGAUUUAUCGCCAUGGGAUGGGCCCGCGUCGGAUUAGCUAGUUGGUGGGGUAACGGCCUACCAAGGCGACGAUCCGUAGCUGGUCUGAGAGGAUGAUCAGCCACACUGGGACUGAGACACGGCCCAGACUCCUACGGGAGGCAGCAGUGGGGAGUAUUGGACAAUGGGGGCAACCCUGAUCCAGCCAUGCCGCGUGAGUGAAGAAGGCCUUAGGGUUGUAAAGCUCUUUCGCCGGUGAAGAUAAUGACGGUAACCGGAGAAGAAGCCCCGGCUAACUUCGUGCCAGCCGCCGCCGUAAGAC